rnacentral:rRNA from 1 species
GACGAACGCUGGCGGCGUGCUUAACACAUGCAAGUCGAACGAAGUGGCGAACGGGUGAGUAACGCGUAAUCAACCUGCCCUUCAGAGGGGGACAACAGUUGGAAACGACUGCUAAUACCGCAUACUGUAGGAGGGGAUUGCGUUUGAUUAGCUGGUUGGGGGGGUAACGGCCCACCAAGGCGUUGAUCAGUAGCCGGGCUGGGAGGGUGAAGCGCCAAAUUGGGACUGAGAAACGGCCCAGACCUCUAAGGGAGGGAGCAGUGGGGAAUCGUCCGCAAUGGAGGAAAGGCUGACGGAGCAAAGCCGGGGGAGGGAUGGCGGCCUUCGGGUUGUAAAGCUCUGUUAAUCGGGACGCGGUACCGGAAUAGAAAGCCACGGCUAACUACGUGCCAGCAGCCGCGGUAAUUC